rnacentral:rRNA from 1 species
UACGAAGGGGGCUAGCGUUGCUCGGAAUCACUGGGCGUAAAGGGUGCGUAGGCGGCGCGGUAAGUCGGGUGUGAAAUCUCGGAGCUUAACUCCGAAACUGCAUUCGAUACUGCCGUGCUUGAGGACUGGAGAGGAGACUGGAAUUUACGGUGUAGCGGUGAAAUGCGUAGAUAUCGUAAGGAAGACCAGUGGCGAAGGCGGGUCUCUGGACAGUUCCUGACGCUGAGGCACGAAGGCCAGGGGAGCAAACGGG